GACGAACGCUGGCGGCGUGCCUAAUACAUGCAAGUCGAACGGAAAGGCGAGGCGCUUGCGGCGCGCACGAUUGGCGAACGCGUGUGUAACACGCGAGUAACCUGUCCCUGACUGAGUGAUAUCACUAGGAAACUGCGGCUAUAAUCGGAGAUGAGCUCCUGCUGCACGGUGGUGGUUGGAGAGAUUCGGUGGUUGGGGAUGGUAUCGCGGCGUACCCGCUUGUUGGUGGGGUAGUGGAUUACCAAGGCUUCGACGGGUAGCCGGACUGAGAGGGUGACCGGCCACACUGGGACUGAGAUACGGCCCAGACUCCUACGGGAGGGAGCAGUGGGGAAUAUUGCACAAUGGGCGGAAGCCUGAUGAAGCAGCGCCGCGUGCGGGAUAACGGCCUUCGGAUUGUAAACCGAUUGCGCCUGUGACGAAGCGUGAGUGACGGUAAUCGGUAAAGAAGCACCGGCUAACUACGUG
rnacentral:rRNA from 1 species